UACGAAGGGGGCUAGCGUUGCUCGGAAUUACUGGGCGUAAAGGGCGCGUAGGCGGCACUGUUAGUCAGGCGUGAAAUCCCCCGGGCUUAACCUGGGAACUGCGUUUGAAACUACAAGGCUAGAGUGUGGCAGAGGGGGGUGGAAUUCCACGUGUAGCAGUGAAAUGCGUAGAGAUGUGGAGGAACACCGAUGGCGAAGGCAGCCCCCCUGGGUUAACACUGACGCUCAGGCACGAAAGCGUGGGGAGCAAACAGG
rnacentral:rRNA from 1 species